AGUGAACGCUGGCGGCGUGCCUAAUACAUGCAAGUCGAACGAAGUGGCGCACGGGUGAGUAAUAUAUAGAUAAUCUCCCCUACAACGUGGACCAACAGUUGGAAACGGCCGCUAAUACCUCAUAGUGUAGGAUGAGACUAUAUCGUAUCAGCUAGGUGGUAAGGUAAUGGCGUACGAAGGCUAUGACGCGCAACAGGUCUGAGAGGAUGAUCAGUCACAUUCGAACGGAGACACGGUUCGAAAUCCUUCGGGAAGGAGCAGUAAGGAAUAAGGCGCAAUGGGCGUAACCCAGACGCGUCAUCGGCGCGUGAAGCAUGAUACUUAUCGGAGCAUAAGCUCCUUUGUUCAGGAAAGCGGUACCUGAUGAGUAAGCACCGGCUAACUCCGUGCCAGCAGCCGCGGUAAUUC
rnacentral:rRNA from 1 species